rnacentral:rRNA from 1 species
AACGAACGCUGGCGGCAGGCUUAACACAUGCAAGUCGAGCGCCCCGCAAGGGGAGCGGCAGACGGGUGAGUAACGCGUGGGAAUCUACCCAGCUCUACGGAACAACUCCGGGAAACUGGAGCUAAUACCGUAUACGUCCUUCGGGAGAAGGAUUUAUCGGAGUUGGAUGAGCCCGCGUUGGAUUAGCUAGUUGGUGGGGUAAUGGCCUAUCAAGGCGACGAUCCAUAGCUGGUCUGAGAGGAUGGUCAGCCACACUGGGACGGAGACACGGCCCAGACUCCUACGGGAGGCAGCAGUGGGGAAUAUUGGACAAUGGGCGAAAGCCUGAUCCAGCCAUGCCGCGUGAGUGAUGAAGGCCCUAGGGUUGUAAAGCUCUUUCACCGGUGAAGAUAAUGACGGUAACCGGAGAAGAAGCCCCGGCUAACUUCGUGCCAGCAGCCGCCGUAACAC